UUUCACCUACGGGGCGCAGCAGUGGGGGAUAUUGCACAAUGGGGGAAACCCUGAUGCAGCGACGCCGCGUGUGGGAAGACGGUCCUCUGGAUUGUAAACCACUGUCCCCAGGGACGAAGAUGGCGGUACCUGGGGAGGAAGCUCCGGCUAACUACGUGCCAGCAGCCGCGGUAAUACGUAGGGAGCGAGCGUUGUCCGGAAUUACUGGGUGUAAAGGGAGCGUAGGCGGGGAUGCAAGUUGGGGUUCAAAACUACCGGCUCAACUGGUAGUCGCAC
rnacentral:rRNA from 1 species